GAGGAGAUCUAGGAGGCCCAAGAAGGUCCUAAAAAGGGGGGGGUUAAGGCACCCACCGGCGGGGUCGGGGUCCUUGCGGUCGGCGGGGUCGUAGAGGGCGGAGAUGGCGGAGGAGAUGCUCUUCUGCAGGUCCUGGUUCUUGCUGACCGAGUCCUCCUCGUCGGAGGAGAAGGAAGGCAACGUCUCCAGRUUGCGCUUGAGCUCCUCGUCGAGCCGCUUGCAGGGGCUGGGGCAGGCCAUGACCAAGCCCUCGCCCUCGGCCCCGUCCAGGCCCCCCGGCAGCAUGGGGGGCCCCACGGCGAAGGGGGGAGCCGGGGGCACCCGGGGCGUCUUGGAUGGGCUGGUGGCGGCCGGCGGCAGCUGCUGGCGCUUGCCGGACUUGAGGAAGUCGAGGAAGGAGGCCAUGAAGCCCGACUUCAUCUCCGGCUGCUUCUCCUCCACCUCCUUGAUCUUCUGCUUGAUGCGCUCGCGCGUCUGGCUGCUGUCCAGGGGCCCCUCGCCCGGCGGGGCGCCCGGGGGGGCCCCCGCUUCGCCCGGCGGCCCCUCGCCCCCCUUGGGCACCGCCAGCUUGANNUUGAGGGGCUCCAGGGCGUUGCCGUCGGCCCCGUCCUCGGGUCCCUUCUUGCCCCGUCCCCGUCCCCGUCCCCGGGGUUUCUUGGGGCCGUCGGGAGGCAGGAGGCCGUGGGGUUCGGCCAGGGGCCGGAUGCGGGGGCGCCCGCGGGGCCGGGGGGGUCCCUCGCGCUUGGGCUUGGUGGGCUUGCGGCCGCGCUUCUUGGGGCCGUCGUGGGCGCCGGGGUGGGGGCAGAAGUCGAUGUCGCCCAUGGGGCUGAGGCUGGGGCGGGCGCGGCAGCUGGAGAUGAGGUCGGGCAGCAGGUCGGGCAGGCGGCGGCUGUUGAGGCGGAUGUCGGCGGGGGCGUCCGCCUUGUCCUCGUCGUCCUCGAACUCGUACUCCUGCGCGUAGGUCUUCUUGGGCGGCGGGAAGGGCUCCCGCUUGCGCAGCAGGUGGAACGAGGAGGUUUUGAGCAGCUUCUUGGGCUUGGAAGAGCAGAAAAUGGGGGAGGCCAAGGGCGGCUUGCUGCCGCCGCCGCCGUCACCGCCGCCGUGGCCGCUCUGGAUGAGCCCCAGCGGCUCGGCGUUGACGGUGGAAGGCAGCUCGUGCUUGGCGGCCUCCAGCGCCAAGUGCUGCUCGCCGUUGCCGUCACCGCCGCCACCGCCGCCGCCGCCGCAGAAGCCCGGGUAGCUCUGGCCCGGCGGCAGCAUGUCGUAAGCGGGCGCCUUGAGGCCCUCGGGCCGCUCCAGGCCCGGCGCCUCGUCGUCGGCGCAGGCGGCUUUGGGGAAGUCGUCGGGGCCGCAGGGCGGCGGGCCGAACAUGUCCUCCAUGCCGGGGAAGAAGCUGCGGUCCUCGUCCUGCAGCAGCGAAUCGGGGAAGCAGAUGGAGGUGAGGGGCACGAAGCGCUGCUUGCCGCCCGCC
rnacentral:lncRNA from 1 species